GCUCAUUUGUCCGUUGCAGUUUUGUCGGGGCUCAUAUGUCUAUCGCGUCGCGUCGGUGAACCUACUAUCAAGAAAUAGUUGUCAUUUGAGGACAAGCAGCUGAGAGAGCUGAAUUUAUCAAGACUGUUUAUAUUUUUUCCUUAAACCUUACAUUAGCCAAUUAUUGGCUAAUUAACGAGGUUACUAUUUCAAUACCCCUAUUCUUCCUGAUAAUUUACAGUAUGUUAUUUUCAUUGUGUUUAAAUGACUGAUCUGAUGAGCCUGCAAAAUUUGCACGAAUCUGUGCAGCAGUUGAUGAGCAAGCAAGUAGAACAACUCAAUAUCUAUGUGAAAAACCAGCAAAAUAUGUAGGCAGAGGCAAGGAAGACUGUGGUAGGUGCACUCAGGAGCAAGAGAGAAGUUUUUCUAGGAAAGGUACUGCUAAAACUUCACCACAAAGAAAUGGAAGCAGAUCUGUUGGUGCAAUGACAUUCCAGGAAGACAAUGGCAGAGCUCAUUGAAAUUACUCACUUCACCCCACGAAGAAUGACAUUUGGUCAAGAUGGAGGAAAAAAGCACUGCCAAGAAGCCCUCUCGUACCACCUCAGAGAGGCCUGCCACACCAUUACCAAGUGCCUUUACCUUGACAAACAGGGGGAAUGCACCUUGAGGUUGUAAGGCCAUACCAGACACAAGGCAAGAACCAGCUUUAAAAGAGAUGUACUGUAUAUAACCAUGUAAAUCUACAUUUCCCUUCAGUCUACAAUAUAGAUGUUUAGACCCAGGAGUUAAAUUAAAUCU